AGUAUGCUCAUGGGAACCCAGCUGGAAAGUGCUGUGGAAGGACAAAUGGAGAAAAGUCUCCAGAAAUUGGCCUCGUUUGAAAGGACCUCAUGCAAAGAGAGAUCUUUGGAGACAUUUCAGAAAGGUUUUUAUUCAAACAUAUUCGCAGCUUGUAUGACAGUGGAAUGUUUUGAAAUGAGCUUGAUUCUGUUUACCCAUCCUUCUUAAUCCAACAACUCUGCUGGUCUCUCUGCUGACACAAGAUCGUUCGCAGGUUAUAGAAGGAUUUAACACGUCAGAUAGUUUUUUCUAGAGGUAGGAGGUACAUAAGAGAAACGUGUUUUAUGGCUGUGGUUUUCAAGAAGUACAGCGUUUUGGAGAGAGUGGAAGGCUUUCAUGCAUGAAACACUCAGGGAGGUAGGAGAUCCAUGAGAUCCAAGCUAAACAAUUCUGGAAGAGUUACCUGAAGUUGACACUUAAUUCAAGCUGCAUCAUCUUCCUCCUCCCAGCAGAUGAAGACCAAAGG